rnacentral:rRNA from 1 species
UACGUAGGGGGCAAGCGUUGUCCGGAUUUAUUGGGCGUAAAGAGCGUGUAGGCGGUUCGGAAGGUCCGUUGUGAAAACUCGAGGCUCAACCUCGAGACGCCGAUGGAAACCAUCGAACUAGAGUCCGGAAGAGGAGAGUGGAAUUCCUGGUGUAGCGGUGAAAUGCGCAGAUAUCGGGAAGAACACCCGUGGCGAAGGCGGCUCUCUGGGACGGUACUGACGCUGAGACGCGAAAGCGUGGGGAGCGAACAGG